rnacentral:rRNA from 1 species
AACGAACGCUGGCGGCAUGCCUAACACAUGCAAGUCGAACGAAUGGUUUCGGCCAUUAGUGGCGCACGGGUGAGUAACGCGUGGGAAUCUGCCCAGCAGUGGGGGAUAACCUCUGGAAACGGAGGCUAAUACCGCAUACGCCCCUCGGGGGAAAGGCUUGCUGCUGCUGGAGGAGCCCGCGUCGGAUUAGCUAGUUGGUGGGGUAAUGGCCUACCAAGGCAACGAUCCAUAGCUGGUCUGAGAGGAUGAUCAGCCACACUGGGACUGAGACACGGCCCAGACUCCUACGGGAGGCAGCAGUGGGGAAUAUUGGACAAUGGGCGAAAGCCUGAUCCAGCCAUGCCGCGUGAGUGAUGAAGGCCCUAGGGUUGUAAAGCUCUUUCACCGGUGAAGAUAAUGACGGUAACCGGAGAAGAAGCCCCGGCUAACUUCGUG